UACGAAGGGGGCUAGCGUUGCUCGGAAUUACUGGGCGUAAAGCGCACGUAGGCGGCUUCUUAAGUCGGUGGUGAAAUCCUGGAGCUCAACUCCAGAACUGCCUUCGAUACUGGGAAGCUCGAGUCCGGGAGGGGUGAGUGGAACUGCGAGUGUAGAGGUGAAAUUCGUAGAUAUUCGCAAGAACACCCGUGGCGAAAGCGGCUCUCUGGGACGGUACUGACGCUGAGACGCGAAAGCGUGGGGAGCAAACAGG
rnacentral:rRNA from 1 species